rnacentral:rRNA from 1 species
CCUACGGGUGGCAGCAGUGAGGAAUAUUGGACAAUGGGCGCGAGCCUGAACCAGCCAAGUAGCGUGAAGGAUGACGGCCCUACGGGUGGUAAACUUCUUUUAUAAAGGAAUAAAGUGAGGCACGUGUGCCCUUUUCCAUGUACGUUAUGAAUAAGGAUAGGCUAACUCCGUGCCAGCAGCCGCGGUAAUACGGCGGAGCCGAGCGUUAUCCGUAUUUAUUGGGUUUAAAGGGUGCGUAGAGGGGUUGUUAAGUCAGUUGUGAAAGUUUGCGGCUCAACCGUAAAAUUGCAAUUGAUACUGGCAGUCUUGAGUACAGUUGAGGUAGGCGGAAUUCGUGGUGUAGCGGUGAAAUGCUUAGAUAUCACGAAGAACUCCGAUUGCGAAGGCAGCUUACUAAACUGCGACUGACAUUGAUGCUCGAAAGUGUGGGUAUCAAACAGGAUUAGAUACCCGGGUAGUC